AUGGCAAAAUCUAUACCAAAAAUUGGUUCACGUAAAACUGGACGUAUUGGUUCGCAUGUAAGAGGUCGGGUGAUUUCUUGGUCCUCCGCCGGUUCAUGUGGAUUCAAGGGUACACGAAGGGGGACACCAUUUGCCGCUCUAACCGCAGCGGGAAAUGCUAUUCAAACAGUAGUCGAUCAAGGCAUGCAACGAGCAGACGUCAUGAUAAAAGGGUUUAUACGGGAUGUAACCCCUAUGUCACAUAAUGGAUGUAGGGCUCCUAAAAAAAGACGUGUGUAA
rnacentral:lncRNA from 1 species